AGAGUUUGAUCAUGGCUCAGAACGAACGCUGGCGGCAGGCUUAACACAUGCAAGUCGAACGGCUGUAGCAAUACAGCAGUGGCAGACGAGUGAGUAACACGUGGGAACCUUCCUAGGGGUACGGAACAACUCAGGGAAACUUGAGCUAAUACCGUAUACGUCCGUAAGGAGAAAGAUUCAUCGCCCCUAGACGGGCCCGCGUCGGAUUAGGUAGUUGGUGGGGUAACGGCCUACCAAGCCUGCGAUCCGUAGCUGAUCUGAGAGGAUGAUCAGCCACACUGGGACUGAGACACGGCCCAGACUCCUACGGGAGGCAGCAGUGGGGAAUCUUGGACAAUGGGCGCAAGCCUGAUCCAGCCAUGCCGCGUGAGUGAAGAAGGCCUUAGGGUUGUAAAGCUCUUUUACCAGGGACGAUAAUGACGGUACCUGGAGAAUAG
rnacentral:rRNA from 1 species